UUACUCUCACAAAUGGAGUCACAUACAGGAUUCAAAGAGCUCUGAAAUUAGGAAAAUAGCUUCUUAAGAUUUAAAAUGACUAGUGUUGGGGAGAGUAGAAGGGGUCAGUUCAACCUAAGUGUGACUCUGGAUAUCAACUCAGUCACUCCUAGAAUUAACUUGGCCCAAAAUAUUUUGUAAAGCACUGAAAGGUUGGUAAAAGAUCUAUAGAAUGUGUGGUUAUAUAUCACUGGUUCACAUAUACACUAAUCACUCCAUAAAGGAAGUCCAUCUCCUAUUUUCAAACACUUCUCUCUUUUUCUAUAUGUAGAACUGAUGAAAGAAUGUCAAAAUUGAAAAAUACAUAUAACCUUUGCCAAAUGAAUUCAGAAGAUGAGUGACAUUACCCGAUAAGCUUGGCCUGGAUGGAGUACUGUUCCUCAUUGUGACAAAUGAACAGUUUCCUAUAAAUAUUCCUUCAUCUGCAUUUGUUUUCUUCAGACUCUAAUCUCUUAAUUUAUAUUUUCCAUCCACUUUGAGUCUUGAGUAAUAAAGCGUGAUUAGAUCUGCACAUAUAAGACAAAUUGCUGGACUGGUUUAUAUCUGUGUUAGAGCGGGGACCUGCUCUGCACUUAAAGGUCUAAUUGAAUUCUUACUCCAGAAAUGUGAAUUCUUCAUUUGAAGUCUUGGCCAAAAAUAGAAAUUGAUGAGUUUUACAAAUGUGAAGGCUCUAUGAUAAAUAAUUUUUCAGUGUUGAUUCUUAGCCGUACCAGUGGAGAAUCUGAUACUUCUUUGUCAAACUUCAUCCAUCUGCCCAAAAAUCUGAUAAUAUUUUGUGAAGAGAACAGUCUCUGUGACAUGAUCCUGUCAGAUUCUUUUGGAAUGUAAGGGCAGUGAUAGCUGAGAAAAUCAAGAGUUUCUACUUGUUACUUCAAAGCUGCUAAAUAUAUUUAGAAUAACAAAUCAGUAACACAAGACUCUACAGUAAAAAAUGUGCUAGUGCUACUGUGGUUGCAAUGCUCUAUUCAAUUUAAAUUCAAAGACAGACAUUUAAAACUUUUUUCAGUGGUCUCACUUUUAAGCUAAAUAUAAACAUUGACUUUUUUUUUUAAUACCGUGUUGAAUCUGUUCUUGUAACAAGUAAACAUUCUGUAAGCCUUAUCAUAAAAAUAAUUUGAAAAAGUAUUUCUGGUAUACAGGUCAAACUCUUCCCUAGUAAUUUUGUUGAACUAUUUCACUGCA